rnacentral:rRNA from 1 species
UACGGGGGGGGCAAGCGUUGUUCGGAAUUACUGGGCGUAAAGGGCUCGUAGGCGGCCAACUAAGUCAGACGUGAAAUCCCUCGGCUUAACCGGGGAACUGCGUCUGAUACUGGAUGGCUUGAGUUUGGGAGAGGGAUGCGGAAUUCCAGGUGUAGCGGUGAAAUGCGUAGAUAUCUGGAGGAACACCGGUGGCGAAGGCGGCAUCCUGGACCAACACUGACGCUGAGACACGAAAGCCAGGGGAGCGAACGGG